rnacentral:lncRNA from 1 species
CCAAUUUAAAGCUUGUGGAUAUUUCUUCCCCCUCGGGGAAAGCUUAUGCGAGGAUUUUCUUUUUCAACAGUUCAUUCCGUGAAACCAUUUUUUUUCUCCUUGUUUGCUGUUAGAAAAUGUUGGAGCUGAACAUAAGGCUUUCAUUGCAGAUUGCUAUCAAGGGAACUAAGAAAGGAUGUAGGCAUAUUGUUAAUGCCUCUCUUCAAGCUGUAUUUGAGGAAGUAUGUAGCUUUAAAAGGUUGAAUCAUUAUUUAUGA